AUCACAAAAAGUUGUUUUUGGUCUACACAAAACAAAUCUACAGCUUAUUUCUCGCAGCCUCCCCAAUCCCCCAGUCCCCAACUCCCCACUCCCCACUCCCCACUCCCCACUCCCUCCCUCUCUCUGGCGACAAAAAUUAUUUCACCGUCGGAUCCGCCACACACUCUCCUCCUUCUUCUUUCGUUUUCGAGGCAGGCAACCACCAUAUCGAGUCUUUCCAGGGCUUCCAUGGUUGUAUAGGUGGCGAUAUUCUCCGUCACCUAUCAGUCAUCACCGCCAUAGCCACCGUAGCAGGAUAGAUCGCAGUGGUCCCCUUCACAACCGGUAACUCCAACUGCCCUUAUUUUGCAUCAUUUUUCGUUAUCUAGUUUUGCUUAAAUUAUCUGCUUUUGGUUUGCUCUAAAGUAAUACGGAAGAGUGGGAAUUACUAACCAAAUGAGGUGAGUUCUUUAUGCAUCUUUUUUAGAUUUGAUAUACUCUCUUGUUCAUCUUUUAUUGCUAAAUUUUGUUUUAGAAGGAAAAUCUAAGUUCUUUUAUUUCGAAUUUUUGGGGGUAGAUUUAUAUAGGGCUCAAGUAUUUUACUUCACUGUCAAAACCUUGAAAUAAUCGAGCUAUGAACAUGUCUACAACGCCAUUGAAAAGCCUCUUCGUCUCACUAAAACCGCCGCCAUUUCAGAGGUCUACAUUAUACUCUUUUUCUUUCAUAAUGAAUUAUUCUUAAAGGAUAGUUUAUGAUUUUUUUCCGUUUGUUGGGGGAUUUCGUCGAAAAAAUUGUUCAUGGUUUGAUUGGUGAGUGAACUUUUGGUAAUUGGGUAUACUUUUUUAGAUAAUGAAUUGAUUUAUGUUAUGGUUGAUUGUAAAGUAAUUUGUUUAAGCUUAUUUCUGCUAAAUUUGAAGGUUUGAUUAGAUGACCUGUAACUGCAACAUUGACUCAAAUUGGAUCAAGGUUGUAUCUUGUAUGUAAAUUGGGGAACUUUGUACAUCUUUUCUGAGGUUACAUUGAAGAAUUUGAAUAUGUUUACUACUACAGGUCUGGAAGGAUUGUGAUUAAACUAAAUGGAAGAUUAAAAAAGUGUGGUAUUACAAGCCCUGGUUUUGAUGUCUAAUGAAAGAGAUUGAGUUCUAGACAACAAGAGGUUACUACCCUCUAAACAGGUUAGCCAAAGUUUAUCUUCAGUUGUUGAUAACGGGGAUAUUUUGUUGAGUGCAUUAUUUGACGAUUGUAUAAUGCUUGUUCGUAGUCUGCUCAUAAACGAGUUUCUGUAAUUUAUGUUAGCUUGACUUUUGCUGAUAAAUAUAUAUCCGCGUCUAUCAAAUUUCAAUUCCAUUUUUUUGUGUCGUGUAGUUAAUUCACAUUUUAUCCUCUUCCGUAUAUCUUCUAACUGUUAACACUAGUGGAAAAGAGCCCCUACGAUCCCGACAAAAUCGGGCUUACCGAUCCGGAUUUUGUCCGCAUCGGUGGGCUCGCAAAAAUAAAAAUAAUUAACUGAUACAGUCCACAACUAGUCCAUAACAAUAGUAGAAAGUUGUUAGUUUACUAAUUUUUAGUGGUUGGAUCAUUGAUGAAAAAAUAAUAACUGAUACAGUCCACAGCAAAUCUGCUUACUAAUAAAAAAUAAUAACUUGAUGAAAAUAAGAAUAUUUCAAAUCUUAUAGACUUGUUGUGUUGGUGAUAUUGAUUUAGCUUUUAUAAUAGAAAAGCAAUUUGAUUGUUCUAGGUCUGAAAUCCUAAGGAGAGUGCAGAUGUUACAAGCAUUCAGGAGCUUAUUAACGAAAUCGAUAAUAGCUCUCAUGCUGGUGAGUUAUACAAAUGAUACUGUAUACCUCUAAAGCGAUCUCGAUAUCAUAUAUAUUUCUCCCUUGUUCCCAUCUGGUGAGUUAUCCCGCUUGACUGCCUGGUUUGGUAUAAUUUCGACUGCUUGCAAUGCCAAUCUAUCAUAGUUGGCUUUCUAAUUGUUUAACUAUUUAUAUGAUUUUUUUUAUUUGAUUUCUAUCUUCAAUUAUAUACAAAUGUUUUCUGUUUUGAAUGUUGAUUCAUUAUGGCCUUUUUUUCAUGUAAUUCUGGGAUGACAAAUGGUGGAAUGAUAACAAGGACUAUCAUAUGCAAAUCAAAUUUUAAGCAUAGCUAACAUAUGUGUAACAACUUUUUGUUAAAGAAACUCGUUAAACUUUUUGGCAUCCACUUUGGGGAACAUGAUGUAUAUUUUGGAGAAUCUGAUGAUAAUUUCAUUGUAAUUAGGUGAUUUUUUUUGUAAGGAACAUACAUUUAAUUGGUUUUGUUGGCCAAUAUUUUAAAUUGAUUGGUAGUUUUCUAUCAUAAAAUUGUAAUAAAUAUUAAAUAAUUUCAUAUGAUAUGCAAUGUUAAAGGUGAAA